CUAUACAUGCAGUCGAGCGCGGGAAGCGAGUGGAUCCCUUCGGGGUGAAGCUCGUGGAACGAGCGGCGGACGGGUGAGUAACACGUGGGCAACCUGCCUGUAAGAUCGGAAUAACCCCGGGAAACCGGGGCUAAUGCCGGGUAAUACUUUCUUUCGCAUGAAGGAAAGUUGAAAGAUGGCUUCUUGCUAUCACUUACAGAUGGGCCCGCGGCGCAUUAGCUAGUUGGUGAGGUAACGGCUCACCAAGGCGACGAUGCGUAGCCGACCUGAGAGGGUGAUCGGCCACACUGGGACUGAGACACGGCCCAGACUCCUACGGGAGGCAGCAGUAGGGAAUCUUCCGCAAUGGACGAAAGUCUGACGGAGCAACGCCGCGUGAACGAUGAAGGUCUUCGGAUCGUAAAGUUCUGUUGUUAGGGAAGAACAAGUACCGUGCGAAUAGAGCGGUACCUUGACGGUACCUAACGAGGAAGCCCCGGCUAACUACGUGCCAGCAGCCGCGGUAAUACGUAGGGGGCAAGCGUUGUCCGGAAUUAUUGGGCGUAAAGCGCGCGCAGGCGGUUCCUUAAGUCUGAUGUGAAAGCCCACGGCUCAACCGUGGAGGGUCAUUGGAAACUGGGGAACUUGAGGACAGAAGAGGAGAGUGGAAUUCCACGUGUAGCGGUGAAAUGCGUAGAUAUGUGGAGGAACACCAGUGGCGAAGGCGACUCUCUGGUCUGUUUCUGACGCUGAGGUGCGAAAGCGUGGGUAGCAAACAGGAUUAGAUACCCUGGUAGUCCACGCCGUAAACGAUGAGUGCUAGGUGUUAGGGGGCUUCCACCCC
rnacentral:rRNA from 1 species